UGAGUUCACCAGCUUGGAUGCCAGUUAGUUUCUGAUGAGUCUCCUCCUGAAACAGUCUGGCGUCCAGGCUAAUACAGUAGGUUGUAAGUCUUUAUGAACUUCCAAUGAUAUAUGUACGGCUGUGUGUUUUUCUCCUGUUCCAGGAGUGUAUGGCGGAUGAGGAAGGUAGGUUCAAUGAGCUAGCUGGGCCUGAGCUACAGAAUCUGUCUGUGAUGGGGGAGGGAAACGACACGGGUAGGAAGAAACUAUGUGUGUGAGCGACAAAGAGUUCUAGUUCAGCUUCUGCUACUCUGUACACGCUUUUGUUUGUUUUCUCUGUGUGUGUGUGUCAGUGAUUUCCAUGCUGAAGGCGGUCGGUGCUCUACUGAAGGAGGAGGAGUGUGUCCACAGCUAUCCGGAUGCCCGGGGGAGUAAACAGCCUGUCGUCAUCAGACCCAGCAAAUAGUGGUUCAUCAACACCGCCAGCCUCGAAGACAAUGCCAAGGACGGGCUGGCAAAGAUGCGUGUAAUGCCAGAGUCAGCGAGGGGCCGUCUGUUUGCCCAGCUGGACAGGAGACCGUCCUGGUGUAUCUCUCACCAGAGAAGCUGGGUUGUUCUCAGAGAAGGGAAGUGAAUGCUGGUGGGAGCUGCCCCUGGAAUCUCUACUGCCCCCUGAGGAGCUCAAGAAGGUGAAUCACUGCAGUGCAGUGCAGAGCAGGGAACAGUAUAUAUACAGUGCUUUCGGAAGGUAUUCACACCCCUUGACCUUUUCCACAUUUUGUUGUGUUAAAAAGUGGGAUUAAAAUUGAUUGAAUUGUAAUUUUUCUGUCAACGAUUAACCCAAAAGUAAAAAAAAAAAAGAAUGCAUGAAUUGAAA